GGGUGAAUACAUCGAAGUCCUAUCAAACAUUCCCCUUGAGACAGAGAAUGACAUUGAAUGACGCUUUGGGGAAACAGGCUUCGAUGUUCUCGUAGGAGACACAGAUGCUGAAGAAAUGGGAGGUGAACCGGGAGGUGUCAGCCGAGGAGUGCUAGUCUGUGAUGCUAACAGAAGGCUGUUUGAUAUACGAGGCCUAGAAGCUGACACAUCUGCCUCAUGCUCUGCUUUUACAGAAUUCACUGUUUC
rnacentral:misc_RNA from 1 species